AGCGGGAGGCGGAGGGGGACGCCUAGCCUCGUUAAGGUCUUCAGCCACCCGGCCCGGGAGGCUGGAAUCUGGCUUUGGGGGACCUGAAUGUCCCGACUCCCAGGGAGACAUCUGGAGCUCGGAGCCAACCUCCCUGCAGCGAUGGCACCUGCCUCAAGGCCGUCUCGCUUGCUGAUGCCUGCCUGGGAAGGAGGAUGGACGCCGCUGGCAUGUGCCUGGGGUUCUGAAAAGAGGUUCUAGGAAGGAGAGAACUGAAAGGAACUAACUUAGAAAAGAACCCAGGAGUGGAACAUGGAUAAUAAAAGACAGAUGAGCACACCCGGGUGUGUGUGUGAAGUCAUGAUCCAUUUGGAAGGGGUUCCAAGCCCUUGGCUACCAUCGCAUACUGGCUACAAAAGACACACGCAGAGCUGAAGGCCGACUGUGGAAGAAGGUGGUUAAACAAAGGGAAUCUUCCUCCUCUGGGACGGGUGAAGUGCGUCUGUCCUCUCCUUGCAGGCUCUGGAAAAACUGGCAGGAAUUUCCUUGUUGUGAGAAGAUGGACGAAUGUCUGCAGCCGAGAAGACAACUACAAACAGACUUUGGGCUGUGAAGGCGGGCGGGCGGGGGUGGGGGCGGGGGGCAGCUUUGAUCCCUCCAGCUCUGUUGUAAUUUUGUCUUCGCCAGAUAGAUUAGCUGGAACCGCCAGCCCUAGCAUGGAGUUCUGUUCUGCGGAGUCCCCUC
rnacentral:lncRNA from 1 species